rnacentral:misc_RNA from 1 species
AACGCACGAGACCUGCGGACCUGCGGAGGGAUCAUUACUGAGGAGGGUCCAUGGCCCGAUCUCCAACCCUUUGAUAAAAACACCAUGUUGCUUUGGCAGGCCCGCCCGUUGGGGCCGCGGGGGAUCGCCGGUCCCUAGCCCGUGCCUGCCGGUAGCCUUCACAAAACUCUCAAAAUGUUGUCGUCUGAGAUGAUUAGAAUAAUAAAACUUUUAGCAAUGGAUCUCUAGAUCGGAAGAGCA